GCAUCUAUGGUUGAAUGGUUAAAGCACUCAACUCAUAACUAGUAAAUUUGCAAGUUCAAUUCUUGCUAGAUGCA
rnacentral:tRNA from 1 species